CACACAUACAUGAACAUACAUACAUGUGCACCCAUACACACAUACACACACAUGAAGACAGAGAAGGAUCAAUAAACACUUGGAAAUUCAACUUAACCUAAAGCAAGAUAAAUGUGAAUGUAGAAGACAGACCACGCUAUUUAGAAUCCAUAGAGGAAAGCAGGCCCAGGCCUGUUCCCAUAGGGACAGUGGCUGUGGAGCAACUGGAAAGUGUAAUUUAAGACCACUCACACUUUGAAAUUCACAUUUUCACUUCUAACACAACCCUAAGAACAGCACAGAGGUGAAGACAGACUCCUGACAAGGCAGCUCAGCUCACUGAAGAUGGAAAACCAUGCAACACCCAAGAAAGAGCUGACUGAGAACACAGUGACUCCCAACAAAAGAACAACAGAACUUAAAUAAGACAAACAUUGAUGAACUAAAAGUGAGAGGAGAGAGGCAGAUGCCAGUCAAUUGACAGGAUUCCUGCUUCCUUAGAUGGAAAGAAAACUCUUUUAUGCUGAGAUGGUCGUGGAAGUAUAUAGUCUUGUUUAACUGAGUCACAGAACAAAGGCAUCAAGGAGCCAGAACUGAAUCUUAAAGACUGUGAGUUGUGUAGGACACCCCAGCUUCUGCAAGCUGUGUACCCCAGCUCCUGCAAGCUGUGUAGGACACCCCAGCCUCCUGUGAGCUGUGUAGGACACCCCAGCCUCCUGCUGUAGCUCUAGGCACACACACAAGACUGAGACAGUGUGGGGUGGAAUCCAGACAUCAUGACAGAGUAGAGCAAAUGAUGCUUUCUUUAAUUAUCUCCCUAUCUGCCAAUGGCACAAAUCUCUCUCUCUCUCUCUCUCUCUCUCUCUCUCUCAAUCUCUCUCUCUCUGUAUCUGUCUGUCUGUCUGUCUCUGUUUCUCCUCCCAGGGUGGGCACUUCAAAUGCCGCAGUAUCAAGUUCCUUGGCACAGGACCACUAUGUCUCCUGCCUUCCUCUGUAAGCUCCUCAGGAGCCAUGACUGCCCGCCCGAUGCUGCUUUCAUGAGCACAUGAACUCAGGGAGACCUUAACAAAGAACACGCUUAAAGAAUCUACUUCAGUGGGUCUUCAGCCGUAUGAUCAAAGCUCACAGGUGAUGCUGAGACCCUAGUCUAAGGACCACUCCUGAGGAGGAGGCUACAAAGUCCCCUCUCUUCCCUGCAUUCUAUUCUGCCCUGCCUUCCUUGCUGCAGACAGUAGCUGUGCAUCCCUGAUGCACGCAGGCACAGGAGAGUAAAGGAAACUAGCUUUCGCUGGGCCUUUCCAGGCAGUUUCCUUCCUGACUAAUUCGGGGUAAAGCAGACUGGCAGUGUCUCCUGAAUUGUGUCCCUUUUGUUAAGUAGCUGUUUCUGGAAAGAGAGCCCUGCUCUCCAUAGCUGAGGGUCUUUAGAAUCUUAGUCAGGGAAGGGCUAUUGCAGCUACCUGAGUUCACUCUGAGGCCUCAUGGGAGGGGGUGAGAGGAGAGGGGUGAGUGGAGACAGGUAGGGCACCGCCCACCUCCUCGACCCCUAGCUCUGUCCAAGGAGGGUUUCACAGAGUACACAUGUCCUGAGGUGAGGCCAGGGUCCCUUCCUGAGGCCUCUUCCCCAGCUCCUGCUUCCCUCUGCCAGCCCUUCUGUGAGAAGCCCCAUUCUUUCCCUGAUUCUUAAAGAAAAGACCCAUUCUCAACUGAAGACAGAAGGAGCCCUAUGUAUGAAUCAGUCACCUACCAUGGUGACAAAGCAGGACUCCUUACAGGUGGGUACCUCCAGCAAAGUCCUUGCAAGCAUGAAUGCUGCCUUCCUAUUUAUACAGGUGAGGAUAACCACUCGUGGGUGUUCUUGGAACGAUACUGUUCCAAGAACAUAUUGGGUAUUUGCUGAGGGCUGAACAGGAACUUAUAAUUUCUCUUGCUUUAUAAGUCUCUCGCAUAGUAAGCUUUUACCCCAAUUCUGUGCUUAUCACUAGGGUUUUCUAGGCACUGGGGCCACUUGACCAGUUCGGGGUGUAUUCCUCACCUUUGACACGCUGUUGCCCUUCAUGGGAGAGAGCAGACAGAAAGAGCUUUCCCUGUGAGCCUUCAUCCUGCACUGGCAGACCGCUAGGCACCCCUCAUGUUCUUUCCUGGCUCAUAGGCAAAGAAAUGAGGGCUCGGGAAUGGGACUCACAGCAGCCAAGUGCUGAGGCAUAAGGUUAGCCUCCAGGUCAGCCUGGUAGGCCAGGGAGCUGAGGCCCAGGAGGUGCUGGCCUUAGGGUCCAGGAUGAGAAAGUCCAUGGAGCCAUUUUCCAUGGUGUGGAUGAGUCAUGCCCACAGCCUAGCUGUCUUUUGACAAGCCACAUGCUCACAUCUCUCAAGCUAUCUCAUUCUCCUGAGCGUUUAGUCUUUUCUCUGUUUCCUCAAGGCCUUCCUUUCUCUGUUCAACAGUGGCUUCCUGCAUAGGAAACAGCAUGGAGUGCCCUUGAAUGAUUAAAAACUUGAAGUAAUUUAUAAUCCAGCAAUCCCACUCAGAAGCCGUCUGCACUCCUGAAAGUUCACUGCAGCGCUGUUCACAGUCGCCACGUGAUGGAGCGCACCCUGUGUCCAUAGCUGAUGUAUAUACAAGGAAACAAGCAGCCAGAAAAGGGUGAACCUUGGGGCUGGGUAUAGCUCACUUAGUAGAAUCCUGGUCUAGCAUGUGAGAAGCCCUGGGUUUCAUCUCCAGCACUACCCGAAACCAGAGUCUGUAUAAAGGCUGAAGAGCUAGCUCUGUCGUACAGUGCUCGGCUGCAACCAUGACAACCUAACAGCAAAAGGCUAUGCAUGAUGGGACAGGCUUGCAAUCCCAGCACUAGUGGUGCUGAAACAGGCGGAUCCCCGGGCCUAUGGGCCUUUGGUCCUAUGGGCCUACAGGUCAGCAAGUCAAGUCUUGGUGAGCCCCAGACCAGUGACAGGCCCUGUCUCCAAAAACAGUGGGGAUGGCAUCUGAGGAACAAGUGAGGUUGCUAUCUGGCCUCUCCAUACAUAGCAGUUUCCUCCCAACUGAAACAUUCACUUAAGGAACCAGAUGGGAGGCUCAUGAGAAUCAGAAAGUAUUUGAACUUGAACAACUCAGGAAGCUAAAACCUUGACAAGACUCACUUGCCUGCCCCACCCCAACUCUUGAGGUUACAGAAGCCAUUGACAACUGUUGGUGGAGCCACUGGCCUGUCACCUGCUGAUCAGUCUGUAAGUCCUGUAAAGAGUUCCAGGGCUGUGGCUGGAGUUGCAUCCCCGCUUGGAUGGGCGGGUUUUCCUGUAGUACCGCUCACUGCCUCUGAGCCAUCCCUGUUUCUGUAACUAACCCCUGACCCAUUCUCACAUAACUAGUCCACUAAACUGUUAGCUUUGCCAUGGC